UACGUAGGGGGCAAGCGUUGUCCGGAUUUAUUGGGCGUAAAGAGCGUGUAGGCGGUCAGGUAGGUCCGUUGUGAAAACUCGAGGCUCAACCUCGAGACGCCGAUGGAAACCAUCUGACUAGAGUCCGGAAGAGGAGAGUGGAAUUCCUGGUGUAGCGGUGAAAUGCGCAGAUAUCAGGAAGAACACCCGUGGCGAAGGCGGCUCUCUGGUACGUGACUGACGCUGAGACGCGAAAGCGUGGGGAGCAAACAGG
rnacentral:rRNA from 1 species